rnacentral:rRNA from 1 species
GGAGCUGAAGCCAGUCGCAGAUACCAGCUGGCUGCAACUGUUUAUUAAAAACACAGCACUGUGCAAACACGAAAGUGGACGUAUACGGUGUGACGCCUGCCCGGUGCUGGAAGGUUAAUUGAUGGGGUUAUCCGUAAGGAGAAGCUCUUGAUCGAAGCCCCAGUAAACGGCGGCCGUAACUAUAACGGUCCUAAGGUAGCGAAAUUCCUUGUCGGGUAAGUUCCGACCUGCACGAAUGGCGUAAUGAUGGCCAGGCUGUCUCCACCCGAGACUCAGUGAAAUUGAACUCGCUGUGAAGAUGCAGUGUACCCGCGGCAAGACGGAAAGACCCCGUGAACCUUUACUAUAGCUUGACACUGAACAUUGAGCCUUGAUGUGUAGGAUAGGUGGGAGGCUUUGAAGUGUGGACGCCAGUCUGCAUGGAGCCAACCUUGAAAUACCACCCUUUAAUGUUUGAUGUUCUAACGUUGCCCCGUUAUCCGGGGUGCGGACAGUGUCUGGUGGGUAGUUUGACUGGGGCGGUCUCCUCCCAAAGAGUAACGGAGGAGCACGAAGGUUGGCUAAGCAUGGUCGGACAUCAUGCGGUUAGUGCAAAGGCAUAAGCCAGCUUGACUGCGAGAGUGACGGCUCGAGCAGGUACGAAAGUAGGUCUUAGUGAUCCGGUGGUUCUGAAUGGAAGGGCCAUCGCUCAACGGAUAAAAGGUACUCCGGGGAUAACAGGCUGAUACCGCCCAAGAGUUCAUAUCGACGGCGGUGUUUGGCACCUCGAUGUCGGCUCAUCACAUCCUGGGGCUGAAGUAGGUCCCAAGGGUACGGCUGUUCGCCGUUUAAAGUGGUACGCGAGCUGGGUUUAGAACGUCGUGAGACAGUUCGGUCCCUAUCUGCCGUGGGCGUUGGAAGAUUGAAAGGGGCUGCUCCUAGUACGAGAGGACCGGAGUGGACGCACCACUGGUGUUCGGGUUGUCAUGCCAAUGGCAUUGCCCGGUAGCUAAGUGCGGAAGAGAUAACCGCUGAAAGCAUCUAAGCGGGAAACUUGCCUUGAGAUGAGUCUUCCCUGACCCUUUAAGGGUCCUAAAGGAACGUUUAAGACUAAGACGUUGAUAGGUUGGGUGUGUAAGCAUAGCGAUAUGUUGAGCUAACCAAUACUAAUGAACCGUGAGGCUUAACCUG